UCAUGAACAAGGAAAUAUAAUAAUAACCAUUUUAUUAUUGCCUCUAGGGCAUAUUUCCAACAGCGGGGACGGGAAAAAUUAUGAUAUACGCCGCUAUACUCACCUGACUGAUGGGCCCUGGCUUGCACGGCGUGAACAGAGCGAGCCCGAGCCGUGGCUGGAGACGUCGCCGGCGUCCUGAUCCGUGGAUCAGGUCCGGUGCUUUUCGGUAGCGUCGGCAGUCCACGCAGUAAAUGCAGAAAGUGGGCCGCUGGGGGGGAGGCUGUGAAGUGGAUCUUGCAUUUUUCCCAGGCGGCGAAGUAGUGGGGAAAUCUCCUGCGGCAAAAGGGGAUUGCGCGCGGUCCAGCGAGUUCGCAGGUGCUCCGACGGCCAUGGAGUCUUGAUGCAGCCGAUAAACAGGUUCGAAUCUGCUCGCUGAACCUCCCUUUUGCAUGGUUUGGAUCCGGUUUUCUGCGCUGACUCUGAUUCUGUCAGCCGCAAAAAUUGUGUGGGUGAACUAGAACACUGCUAGAGGAGGUUAACGAUAACAUCAUCACCAUGGUGCCUGUACGAUUCCGGUCAUUGCGCCGACGGAGGUUGACCUGCCAGCACCGGCGGCUUCAAGUGCAGACGGCCAAAUCUAUCGUGACGGCGCCACUGCAGAGCCUGCAAGUGCAUAUAAGGCUCAAGGUUCAGACCACUCCAUAGAGCAAGUGGAUGCAAAAACUCUGGGGUGGACACAAAGGUAUGAAGAUUGCAACUGAAGGAAUGUUCAUUGUGCGUUUAAAAAAUCAGGGGUGUCCUAGCUAUCAAAUAAAACAGAAUUCGCUAGGUUCAUUUCAGAUGGUUAACUUAUUUGUAUGCAAAGAGCGAUUAGUGCAUAUCUAGUAAUAGUGAUUGACGGGGGGAGAAUGUUGUGGUGCAAGUUAAUUUUGUGAGAAAAAUAAACAGUACACUGCAGAGAAGAAAUAGAUUUCCCUAAUCUGCGAUGCAAACAUGAUGCAUUCUCAGUCUAGCCACAGUAGUUCACACAAUGGUUGAAACUGAAAGAAUAGCUGAUUGAUUCUUUGCAUAUAAUUUGCAAUGACUUACAUAGUGCAUGUCGGUGCUGCCGCUCUAGGCAGAGCUCCUUGCCCGAACAGGGUUACAGCCCUGGAGAAGUCCGUCCGGCAAUUUGCAGGGGAACCAGAAGACAUUGUCAUUGUGCCAAAGAUAUGAACAAGUUUCGACACACUUGGCUAAAUGUGAACCGGACGAAGUGCAUGCAAGAGAUAGUCUGUGGAUGUGCGGUACGACAAAAAUUAGAGCGUUUUAAAAGUGAUUAGUAGUUAGCUAUGAGAAUUUUUUUCCAUGAACUUAACUGAAUAUGCCUUAUUGUGUAUGUGGUCAGGGGAAGCCAAUAGUUGAAAAUACUCGUUCUUGCCGCUGUGAAUGCGCUGCUCUCAUAAGAUUUUUGCUAUCGGCAAGGACCGUGUCAAGUGCAGACGCUCAGAUCUAUGCGGUGGAAGCCGCUCCAGAGGCCGCGAGUGGAGACAGGGGCGAAGCAUCCGAGCACUCCAUAGAGCAGAUUGACCUGAAGGCUCCUGGGGUGGACGCGAAGGUAUUGGGGCUGAAAGAAAAUUCUUUAGUGAUUAGGCACUGGGCUGGCCCUUGGAUUUAAGCAAAACUGUACUUAUAUAGCACUGUACUAAUUAGGAUCCAUUACCUAAAUUGUCAAUGAUUUACAAGCAAAAAAUCCGUCGAAAAUGAGCUUUGGGCAGGAAAAAAUAAGGCAGAAUAUUACUAUCUAUGCUAGAUUACUGAAUUUAAUAGGUUGGGUUUCCCUGGUAGAGAUUAUUCUCACUUGUCAUGUUAUGAUGAUGUAUAACUUAAAAAAUUAGUUUGGAAAUUAUCAUAUCUUCUCUGAA